CCGGGAUUUCGUAUACAUUUAUUUAUUUUUUUCAAGAAAACACGCAGAGUGUAAAUAACUAUCCGUUUUGUUAAGAAAUAAAACGAUAUACACGUUAUUAAUCGUCCGUAAUGGAAAAGCGUGUUUUGAGAAGUGUUUUAUAGAUAAUAUUCUAGGUACCGAUUGUAUGCGAGUUUUCCCGAUCGAAGUUUCCCCGGCGAUUUUUUUUUCCUCGAAAUAUUUUCGUAUUUUGCGCAGUGUAUCGUACCGUGUAGUAGAAUUAACUAAGUUAAGAUUACAAAGGAAUUCGAAAACAAAUAACUUAGUAACUGAACUCGGGUCGAUUCGAUUUUUUUUUUCUCAGUGAAAGAGAUCAAACAUUAUAUUGUAGUUAGUAGAAUUUUUUUUUUU